GGUAAUUAGCUGCAGGUGAACCAGUAAGCCCAUAACGUGAUUAUAAUUUAUUGUGAAUAGGCCCUGGUUAUACAUUAUGUGUUAUUUGAGUUUGGGCCAGAUGUUUGUAUAUGGGUUUACUGUUUUGAUGAAAUUGGAAAAGAUAGGUAGACAUAUUGGAUAAUUUAGGCUUACUACGGGCCUCGGGGGCCUUAAGCUUACCUGGGCCCUAGUGCCGGUCCGGCCCAUGGAAACGGGUCGUGACAGUAAUAAAAAAAUCUUGGUUGAUUAGCUUAGUGUAUGUAGUAGUCUCACAUACCAAGAGUUAGGUUGAACGGACACGGUACACAAGAUACAAGAAUGUACAUAAUACGAUAAUUUUUAAAAAGUAGGACAUCCACACUCUUAUGAC
rnacentral:lncRNA from 1 species